rnacentral:rRNA from 1 species
AACGAACGCUGGCGGCAUGCCUAACACAUGCAAGUCGAACGAGACCUUCGGGUCUAGUGGCGCACGGGUGCGUAACGCCUGGGAACCUGCCCUUAGGUUCGGAAUAACUCCCUGUAAGGGGUGCUAAUACCGGAUAAUGUCUUCGGACCAAAGAUUUAUCGCCUUUGGAUGGGCCCGCGUUGGAUUAGCUAGUUGGUAGGGUAAAAGCCUAUCAAUGCGACGAUGCAGAGCUGGUCGGGGAGGAUGAUCAGCCACACUGGGGCUGAGACACGGACCAGACUGCUACGGGAGGCAGCAGUGGGGAAUAUUGGGCGAGGGGCGAAAGCGUGAUCCAGCAGUGCGGGGGAAGUGAUGAAUGGCGUAGUAUUGUAAAGCUCUUUUACCCGGGAUGAUAAUGACAGUACCGGGAGAAGAAGCUCCGGCUAACUCCGUG